UACGAAGGGGGCUAGCGUUGCUCGGAAUCACUGGGCGUAAAGCGUGCGCAGGCGGGCUUUUAAGCCAGACGUGAAAUCCCCGGGCUUAACCUGGGAAUGGCGUUUGGGACUGGAAGUCUGGAGUGCGGCAGAGGAGACUGGAAUUCCUGGUGUAGCAGUGAAAUGCGUAGAGAUCAUGAGGAAGACCAGUGGCGAAGGCGGGUCUCUGGACAGUUCCUGACACUGAGGCACGAAGGCCAGGGAGCAAACGGG
rnacentral:rRNA from 1 species